rnacentral:rRNA from 1 species
CUGGUCUGAGAGGAUGAUCAGCCACACUGGAACUGAGACACGGUCCWGWCUCCUACGGGAGGCAGCAGUGGGGAAUAUUGCACAAUGGGGGAAACCCUGAUGCAGCCAUGCCGCGUGUAUGAAGAAGGCUUCGGGUUGUAAAGUACUUUCAGUAGGGAGGAAGGCAGUGUCGUUAAUAGCGGCAUUGUUUGACGUUACCUACAGAAGAAGCACCGGC